UCUUAUGCACCCUUCUCUUUGUAUUGAGAUCUUUAGUGAUGGUUGUUGGAGUCUUUGUUGCUUUACUAACUACAUUUCAUAGAUAUAAUCUGGAGUGUCAAAUGGUGAACCAAAAGAUCAUUAACAUUAUUCAUGCAAGAAACUUUUUCCGU